rnacentral:rRNA from 1 species
ACGCUGGCGGCAGGCCUAACACAUGCAAGUCGAGCGGUAGAGAGAAGCUUGCUCCUCUUGAGAGCGGCGGACGGGUGAGUAAUGCCUAGGAAUCUGCCUGGUAGUGGGGGAUAACGUUCGGAAACGGACGCUAAUACCGCAUACGUCCUACGGGAGAAAGCAGGGGACCUUCGGGCCUUGCGCUAUCAGAUGAGCCUAGGUCGGAUUAGCUAGUUGGUGGGGUAAUGGCUCACCAAGGCGACGAUCCGUAACUGGUCUGAGAGGAUGAUCUGUCACACUGGAACUGAGACACGGUCCAGACUCCUACGGGAGGCAGCAGUGGGGAAUAUUGGACAAUGGGCGAAAGCCUGAUCCAGCCAUGCCGCGUGUGUGAAGAAGGUCUUCGGAUUGUAAAGCACUUUAAGUUGGGAGGAAGGGCAGUAAAUUAAUACUUUGCUGUUUUGACGUUACCGACAGAAUAAGCACCGGCUAACUCUGUGCCAGCAGCCGCGGUAAUACAGAGGGUGCAAGCGUUAAUCGGAAUUACUGGGCGUAAAGCGCGCGUAGGUGGUUCGUUAAGUUGGAUGUGAAAUCCCCGGGCUCAACCUGGGAACUGCAUUCAAAACUGACGAGCUAGAGUAUGGUAGAGGGGUGGUGGAAUUUCCUGUGUAGC